UAGGGAAUAUUGGGCAAUGGUGGAGACACUGACCCAGCCAUGCCGCGUGCAGGAAGAAGGCGCUACGCGUUGUAAACUGCUUUUGUCAGGGAAGAAAACGGUCGUGCGCGACUAACUGACGGUACCUGACGAAUAAGCACCGGCUAACUCCGUGCCAGCAGCCGCGGUAAUACGGAGGGUGCAAGCGUUGUCCGGAUUUAUUGGGUCUAAAGGGUGCGUAGGCGGUUUGUUAAGUCAGUGGUGAAAGACGGCAGCUCAACUGUCGCAGUGCCAUUGAUACUGGCGAACUUGAAUAUCGAUGAGGCUGGCGGAAUUGGUGGUGUAGCGGUGAAAUGCAUAGAUACCACCAGGAACACCGAUUGCGAAGGCAGCUGGCUAAUCGAUGAUUGACGCUGAGGCACGAAAGCGUGGGGAGCAAACAG
rnacentral:rRNA from 1 species